rnacentral:rRNA from 1 species
UAGGGAAUCUUCGGCAAUGGACGGAAGUCUGACCGAGCAACGCCGCGUGAGUGAAGAAGGUUUUCGGAUCGUAAAGCUCUGUUGUAAGAGAAGAACGAGUGUGAGAGUGGAAAGUUCACACUGUGACGGUAUCUUACCAGAAAGGGACGGCUAACUACGUGUCAGCAGCCGCGGUAAUACGUAGGUCCCGAGCGUUGUCCGGAUUUAUUGGGCGUAAAGCGAGCGCAGGCGGUUAGAUAAGUCUGAAGUUAAAGGCUGUGGCUUAACCAUAGUACGCUUUGGAAACUGUUUAACUUGAGUGCAAGAGGGGAGAGUGGAAUUCCAUGUGUAGCGGUGAAAUGCGUAGAUAUAUGGAGGAACACCGGUGGCGAAAGCGGCUCUCUGGCUUGUAACUGACGCUGAGGCUCGAAAGCGUGGGGAGCAAACAGGAUUAGAUACCCUGGUAGUCCACGCCGUAAACGAUGAGUGCUAAGUGUUGGUCUCAUAAGAGAUCAGUGCUGCAGCUAACGCAUUAAGCACUCCGCCUGGGGAGUACGACCGCAAGGUUG